rnacentral:rRNA from 1 species
AGCGUAGGCGGACAGUUAAGUCAGAGGUGAAAGCCCAGGGCUCAACCCUGGAAUUGCCUUUGAUACUGAUUGUCUUGAGUAUGGGAGAGGUAUGCGGAACUCCGAGUGUAGAGGUGAAAUUCGUAGAUAUUCGGAAGAACACCAGUGGCGAAGGCGGCAUACUGGCCCAUUACUGACGCUGAGGCUCGAAAGCGUGGGGAGCAAACAGGAUUAGAUACCCUGGUAGUCCACGCUGUAAACGAUGAGUGCUAGUUGUCGGCAUGCAUGCAUGUCGGUGACGCAGCUAACGCAUUAAGCACUCCGCCUGGGGAGUACGGUCGCAAGAUUAAA